UCAGAAUUGCAUAGAUUUACUGUUUUAACCUGAAAUCCUGUCAUUUAUUUACUUCUUUUAUUUUUGUUGGAGAGGAUUUUACAGUUGUUGAUGUUUGGAGGACAUGGGACUGGUGGAUGGUUGAGUCGUUAUGAUAUCUAUUACAAUGACUGCAUUAUAUUAGACAGAGUUUCAGCACAGUGGAAACGGCUCUCCAUAGGCAGUGAACCCCCUCCUGCUAGAGCGUACCACUCUAUGUCAGUUGUUGGAUCACGGUAUUUGCUAAUUGGUGGUUUUGAUGGGAAAACGACUUAUGGUGAUCCAUGAUGGUUAGUCCCUCAAGAAGAUCCAAUUGCAAAUAGAUUAACUGCAUCUCCACCCAGAAAUAUUCCUGAAAGUAAGGAAUUUGCUUUCAACGAUGAUUUUCAACCUCAACUAAAGGAAAGCCAGACAGAGAAAUUUCCUUUCUCUGAAUUACAAAGACGGUUGCAAAUAUCAGUUUCCAGUUCCAGCCUUGAGAUUGUAAACGAGUUCGAAGAUAAAGAGCUGCUUGAAGUAGCAUCAAGAUUAGCAGGUGAAAACGUUUCUACUAAUUCACUGGCGAUCGAAACAAUUCGUAAACACUGGAGAAAGUCUGAACCAAAUAUGGUUAAACUCAAAGAGCUUGGACCAUUGCUUCGGGAUUACCAACGUCUUAUAUACAGGCACUAUCUAGAAAGGAGUGCAUCUGCCCAGACGCCUGGAUUUGGUGAACACGUGAUGUAUCAAUUUUACCACGUCAAAAAUGCUACUCAGUUGCGCAUGGACGAUAUUCCAAAACUUUUGGCAGAGUACAAACAGUUACCUAUAUGAAGAAUACUUGUUGUAUGAACAGUUUCUAAUUUAUACCGAACGCAAAGCAUGGGUCACAAAUAAUACGUUAUUUAUGUACAUUAACCUUUUAAUAAUUAUCAACAUUUCAAUAUUUUUUCCCAUACUUUGGCACAUUCAGCCUCUAAAGUUAGCUAACUGAACAUUAUAGUAUAUUUUAACAGUUUUUUGAGAAAAAACAAUAUAUUAAAUUUGUAAUGGUAAUGUCUGUAGUGGUUUAUAUUAUUUGUUUUGCUACACAUGAACAUAUCUAAAGAUCCAGGAGUGUAAGUGAUCCAGAUUAUGUUAAAUUUGUUCUAAUUUUUCACUUAA